rnacentral:rRNA from 1 species
GACGGACGCUGGCGGCGUGCUUAACACAUGCAAGUCGAACGGAAAGGCCCCCUUGUGGGGUACUCGAGUGGCGAACGGGUGAGUAACACGUGAGUAACCUACCCUUGACUUUGGGAUAACUUCAGGAAACUGGGGCUAAUACCGGAUAGGAGCUCCUGCUGCAUGGUGGGGGUUGGAAAGUUUCGGCGGUUGGGGAUGGGCUCGCGGCUUAUCAGCUUGUUGGUGGGGUAGUGGCUCACCAAGGCUUUGACGGGUAGCCGGCCUGAGAGGGUGACCGGCCACAUUGGGACUGAGAUACGGCCCAGACUCCUACGGGAGGCAGCAGUGGGGAAUAUUGCACAAUGGGCGGAAGCCUGAUGCAGCAACGCCGCGUGCGGGAUGACGGCCUUCGGGUUGUAAACCGCUUUCGCCUGUGACGAAGCGUGAGUGACGGUAAUGGGUAAAGAAGCACCGGCUAACUACGU